rnacentral:rRNA from 1 species
GACGAACGCUGGCGGCGUGCCUAAUACAUGCAAGUCGAGCGCAGGAAACUGACGGAACUCUUCGGAGGGAAGGCAGUGGAAUGAGCGGCGGACGGGUGAGUAACACGUAAGGAACCUGCCUCAAGGAUUGGGAUAACUCCGAGAAAUCGGAGCUAAUACCGGAUAGUUCAACGGACCGCAUGGUCCGCUGAUGAAAGGCGCUCCGGCGUCACCUUGAGAUGGCCUUGCGGUGCAUUAGCUAGUUGGGGGGGUAACGGCCCGCCAAGGCGACGAUGCAUAGCCGGAGUGAGAGCUCGAUCGGCCACAUUGGGACUGAGACACGGCCCAAACUUCUACGGGAGGCAGCAGUAGGGAAAUUUCCGCAAUGGACGAAAGUCUGACGGAGCAAUGCCGCGUGAGUGAUGAAGGUUUUCGAAUCGUAAAGCUCUGUUGUAAGGGAAGAAUAGCGAGGGUAGGAAAUGCCCCAUCGUGUGACGGUACCUUACCAGAAAGCCACGGCUAACUACGUGCCAGCCGCCGCCGUAA